CAGCCGCCGCGGGAAUACGUAGGGUGCAAGCGUUAAUCGGAAUUACUGGGCGUAAAGCGUGCGCAGGCGGUCCGCUAAGACAGAUGUGAAAUCCCCGGGCUUAACCUGGGAACUGCAUUUGUGACUGGCGGGCUAGAGUAUGGCAGAGGGGGGUAGAAUUCCACGUGUAGCAGUGAAAUGCGUAGAGAUGUGGAGGAAUACCGAUGGCGAAGGCAGCCCCCUGGGCCAAUACUGACGCUCAUGCACGAAAGCGUGGGGAGCAAACAGGAUUAGAUACCCGAGUAGUCCCUGUCUCUUAUAC
rnacentral:rRNA from 1 species